CCCUUAGAUGUUCUGGGCCGCACGCGCGCUACACUGAUGCAUUCAACGAGUCUAAAACCUGGUCUGAUAGGGCUGGGUAAUCUUUUGAAAGUGCAUCGUGAUUGGGAUAGAUGAUUGCAAUUCUUCAUCUUCAACGAGGAAUGCCUAGUAAGCGCAAGUCAUCAGCUUGCAUUGAUUACGUCCCUGCCCUUUGUACACACCGCCCGUCGCUCCUACCGAUUGAAUGAUCCGAUGAAUACCAUGGAUUGAGAGUACGAAUGGGUUCGCUCAUUUCUGCUGCUCGAGAAGUGGAGUAAAUCUUAUCAUUUAGAGGAAGGAGAAGUCGUAACA
rnacentral:rRNA from 1 species